ensembl:lncRNA
GCGGGCGCGGCGCUGCCGGCCCGAGUUCGAGAACGUGGCGUUCGGGCGGCGGGCGGCGGCCUCGCACACCUGCGGCUCCCCGGAGGCCGAGGACUUCUGCCCGCACGUGCGCGCGCCGGGCGCGGGGACCCAGUGCCAGCGCUGCGACGCCGCCGACCCCGGGCGCCACCACAAUGCCUCCUACCUCACCGACUUCCACAGCCCCGACGACAGCACCUGGUGGCAGAGCCCGUCCAUGGCCUUCGGGGUGCAGUACCCCACCUCCGUCACCCUCACCCUGCGUCUGGGGAAGGCUUACGAGAUCAGCUACGUGAGGCUGAAGUUCCACACCAGCCGCCCCGAGAGCUUCGCCAUCUACAAGCGCAGCCACGAGGACGGCCCCUGGGAGCCCUACCAGUACUACAGUGCCUCCUGCCACAAGACCUACGGCCAGCCCGAGGGCCUCUAUCUUCGGCCUGGCGACGAGGAGCGGGUGGCCUUCUGCACAUCCGAGUUCAGUGACAUCUCCCCCCUGAGCGGGGGCAACGUGGCCUUCUCCACCCUGGAGGGCCGGCCCAGCGCCUACAAUUUCGAGGAGAGCCCAGGGCUGCAGAUCGGCUCAACACGUUCGGGGACGAUAUCUUCAGGGACCCCAGGGUGCUGCAGUCCUACUACUAUGCCGUGUCCGACUUCUCAGUGGGCGGCAGGUAGGUGGGGCCACGUGGGCACCAGAGCAGAGGAGGGGCUGUGUCAGGACUGCUGGUGGCUGCUGUGAGGUGGCGAGGCAGCUUGGUGACCCGGAGCACAGGAGGGACAGACCCAGCCCCAUGUGAGGCCUUCGAGCCGGCUCCAGCGCACUCUCUGCCCUUCGCUGGUUCUGCCCUUAGAGCCCUCACCUUGUACCUGCUGUUCCCUGGACCGGGUCCCUGCCCCCUUCUUGUUUGGCACACGUGACUGCCCAGCCCAGAGAGAGACACCCUGCACUGAUGCCAGCCCCGGUGCCAGGGCCUCUCAGCAGUGGCUGGGGUCUGGUGAGAACAGCCUGUGGCCACUUGGUUUCCUGCACCUGCUCGUGCCAGGAAGCAGGCACCCGAGGUGCAGCCUCCAUCCUUGUCCACCUCAUCACAUUACUGCCUCCCAGGGCGUCUGGAGCAGUCAAGCCCAGAGGGAGGCAGGACGGCAUCUUCUGCAUAUGCCUAUCGAGGAAGGAGACGGAGAGAGACAGUGUGUUCCUGCCAGCCUCCUGGGGUGGCAGACAGGAGCCAGUGGUGGCUGGGAACAUGUCAGCGUGCCCCGGAUUCAUGAGGACGGGGUGCCAAGGACAGGGAGUGGCCUCACACUGAGUCUGGGCACAUGUGAAGGCAGUGCAGCAGGGGAGGGGAGGCUGAGGCAGAAGGGGUCAGGGCUGUGGGCCACGCACCCCCACCCUGUGGUCCGUGAGAAGCUGUCACAGUGCAGCCAGGGACUGAUGGGGUCGGGUGCAGGAGGACCCAGCAAGCUGAGGAGAGCCGAGUCCACCUCUGCAGUUGGGUGGGAGCCAGGCAAUUUGGCCCUGCAGUCCCGGCCAGCCGGGAGGGAGGGGCAGGAGCCACGUGGGAUGGAACGGCAGCUCCACGUGUCCCCUGAUGGGCUGUGGAAGUGGACAGUGAGAACGGUGACCCGCGCUGGGGCCCAGGGUUCGGAGACACCGGGGUGGCGUUGGAGGACGGGAAGGGAUGUGGCCAGUGCCUGGAUUUCAGGGUGUCUGCGAGCUCCGGGGAAGCUGGGGCAGACCCCUGACCCGUGGUCAGGUUGGACCUCCCGGGACGGUGCCUGCCCUCAGGCCUUCCCGCCGGAGAACAUGUGGGCCCCAGCUGUGCAGCGGGCCCACCCUCAGACCGCAGCUGGCUGGGCAGGCUGCUGUCCUCUCGGGGAUGGAACAGGUGGCCCGGCAGCUGGAGGGCUAGAAGGCACCUUCCUCCGCUCGGGGGCUUCAGGGGGAGGAGAGUCCGUGACACCCUCUCG